rnacentral:tRNA from 1 species
GGUGGAUUAGCUCAGUGGUUAGAGCUCAAGUUUGUGACCAGAAGGUUCCGGGAUCAAAUCCCGCCAGAGGCAGAA